UGCAGAGUAGAGUAUUAUGGUAGCUCGCAAGGCUCAUAACCUUGAGGUCACGGGUUCAAAUCCCGUCUUUGCCA
rnacentral:tRNA from 1 species